ensembl:snoRNA
AUAGCAUCUUAAACAGGUCGUGGCCUCUGAGCAGUAGGCCAGGAUUUGGUAGCUGGUGCUUAAAUCAAUUCUCUCUUGCAACAAUCCCACUAGCAAAUGCUGAGCUUUCUGGGACUACUAGAGAGAGGUACAAAC